ensembl:lncRNA
ACUUCCUCUUCUUGCUGAUGCGUGGUUCACGCGUGGCAUCAUGCUCUGAUACCUCCCCAGAUACAGCUUUCUGCCUCUCCUGCUACCAGGGCACCGUACCUAUUCUGAAACUGUGGACCUGUAGGUGGAGAAGGAACUGCUGUCCAUGUGCCAGAAGUCAUGUUAGUUAUUUUCAUCUCAUAAUUUCUAAUCACUAUUGCAUUCAGCAUCACACCAGCUUGUCUCCAGAUGCCAGGACUUUUAGGACACACUGAUUUGCUCUUCAUUUUUUGGUGUGACAGCUGUGCAUGGUGAUCCAGAACGUGGCUUGUCUUUUACGUCACUGUAGUCACUGCUGAAAUGCACUACCCGCAGCCUCCCUGUUCAGCAAGUACUGAUGAAUGUCAGUGAGUGCAAGUUUUUCCUCAUGGAGAAAUUCACUGACACGCUUUUGCUUCAUCCACACUCCCAAAUCAGACACCACUGCGUCAGACUGCCCCGCUGCUGCCAUCUGUCACACAGCAACCACGUGUAACAGAAUACUGGCGGGAAGGCUCAACCUCUACUGCCAUACCACCCAUAUUCGCCUCUGACAUCAUGGGCCAACAUCAUAAAAUAGGAAGCGUUACUUUCAGAGCUUCCCUCAGAGAUAGAAUCUUCAAGAUGAUUAACAUAAGAAAGGAGGCAGAUAACAGCAUGUCAGAGAAGAGUGAGGGCUGGCUGCUCCCUGAAGUACAGAGAUCCUGGAGUCAAGAGCAGUAGUACUGCCAAGAAGGUAAGGGUCUCACCAGCAAGAGACCAGCUCCCAAUUCCCAGACGGUGCAAACAAAGCAAGCCCAAUGAUGGUGGCUGGGUUUCACAAGAAGUCUGGGGUGGAAUGUGGAUUUAUUCAGUAGAAUAAUGUAAUUGGUUUUGUUCACAAUUUCCUAAUUUAAUUCUUUUUGGCCUUCCUUUGAGCAUUAGUUUUCACCAAGAACAACUGUCAAUAGUUACAUGAUUACUUUCAGGGGCAUUGAUAGCUUAUUGUUAUAUGUAGUUUGCUCUAAAAGUAAUGCCUCCUAUUUAUUUCCAUGGAAACCACAAAGCACACAAUAAUGCUGUUUGACAGAGUAAAUUCUCAGCUACAAAACACUUUUUUUCAACAGAAUCACCACCAUUAGCUAUUCAUUUUCAGCAGCGAUGAACAAGAGUCAGCAUGCUCUGCUCAUAAAAAUCUGCAUGACCAUCCGGAACAUGGCUUGUCUGUUAGAUCACUGUCACCACUGCCGAAAUGCACCACCCAUCACCUCACUGUGCUCACAUCCACUGUUUGGUCUACAUAAACAUUCAGCAAACAUUGAUGAAUGUCAGCAGGUGCCAUUUUUUUUCCACAUGGAAGAAUUCAGUUUCACACUUUUGCUUCAUCCACACUUUGUCAGGAGCCAUUUUGUCAGACUGUCCCUCUGCUGCCAUCCGUCACACAGCAACAAAGUGUAAUGAAGUAUUGGUGGGAAGGUUCAACCUCAACUGCCAUGCCACCAACAUUCACUUCUGACACUGUCGGCCAACAUCAUAAAAUAGGAGGCAUUACUUUUGGAGCAGCUGUUGUAUAUAAGCAAUCAGGUUAGUUUCCUGCUCCCUUUUCUGCAGUUUUGUGGUUAAUAACACUGAAAUUUCUCUGCCAUUUUGUAAUACAGUCAUUUUGCAUACUAAGAUUUUUUUUUUCAUUUUUCUUGUCAUCAGCUUUAGUUUUGACUAUUGUGAAUGAUUUUGGCUUCUUAUUCAGCAACUUUUCUAGAUCAUUUAUGAAUAUAUUGAAGAGCACGCAUCCCAUGGUACGUUCCUGUGUUGUACAGAUGAUCUUCUUUUCUGAGCACUAACCACUUAGUCCCAUCUUUUCUCUUAAUGAGCAAUUUUUAUUUUUAUUUAUUUUUAAAUGAGAGCACUUUUGAUGAGACACCUUGUCUGGAGACUUUCUAAAGAAAAAAGUCUGCUCAUCUACUUGUUGAUUGCCCCAGAGAAAGCUCUUCGGUAUGUGCGGAACUACUCUCUACAAAAACUGUGUUGACUUUUGCUUGUUUAAUCAUCUUUAAUCAUGGAUCUGUUCAUUUUUUCUUUCAUUAUAUUCUCAUCCAAUUUUAUUUGCUUGAAAACCAGACUUUUUGGCUUGCAACACCCAGGAGCACUUUUCAAAAUUCAGCAUGACAUUUACCCCUUUCUAUUUGUCUGGCAGCAACACAGAUUUAAGCAAUAGAUUGCACACUGCAGUUAGCAGCUUGGCAAUCUGUUUUACAAUUUUGUCACAACCCACUGAUCCUGAAUUUUCUUUACUAUUUUCCAUUCUUUCUUGUGUCUGUAUUUAUCCACCUUUUCAAGGGAAGAAGUAUUUGGUUUCUCGGUUCCUAAAAGCCCUUUGUUCAUGGUGAAAGUGGUGAAACAUGAAGAAUGACCGUGAUGUCUCAGAGUUCAUAAAAACUUAUUUGUGUGAAGAGCUUUCCAGGAAAAAUUUGACUCACCUCUUCCAUUUAAUUUUGUUUUGAUCCACGUUGUAUGUAACCUUUCUAUCAGCCAUCAAAAGCAGCCAAAAGGGUUGUUCAAUAAACUAUGAAAGAUGUCAGAUUAUCAGUACCUUUAAUGUAGGAUUUUAUUUAAUGAAUAAAGACACACGAAUUUUCUACAG